GUCUACGGCCAUGCCACCCUGAACACGCCCGAUCUCGUCUGAUUUCAAAAGCUAAGCAGGGUCAGGCCUGGUUAGUACUUGGAUGGGAGACCACCUAGGAAUACUGGGUGCUGUAGGCU
rnacentral:rRNA from 1 species